rnacentral:lncRNA from 1 species
CUCUCCCAAUCUCUUCACUGCACCAUCAAGUGUCCUCCAGCUGACCGUCCCGAUGCCUCUGAUCGCACAGCUCGAUCCAUCCGGCAGAUAUACAGUGCCCUUACGGUUCUCCAGAGAGUCAAACUGCUCUUCUCUGCAACAUACAUGAUGGAUGCAUGCAGAAUCUAAUAUCCACUGCUGGGAAGAAGUAGCCUCUUAGAGUACUCCAGGGUCGGCUUCUCAGGGUGCUCGCACCGAGCUUCUGUGUACUGAGCAGUCUAUAUUCUUUGGUGGUCUUCUCAGAAAUGAAACCAUAUCAAGGAGCUUCAGAAACAUUGGUGCUUCGAAUCUGAGGCA